rnacentral:sRNA from 26 species
UUUUAACCCCGGUUGUAGCGGAAAUCCUUUGCUUUUUUUCUUUAGAAAAGCAAAGAUUGAAGUGCAAAACGGGAAUAUGG